AGUGGACCGUCGCCGACUGGAUGAUGGGGGCGUCCUUAGUUCAGUCGGAACUGUCUAAGGGCCUUGUCCCCUAUGAAGGGUAGUCCUUCGGUAGGACCUAUAGGGCAGACCUAUGACCCUACCCUCGGACUAUAACCCCAUCAUUAGUCCCCGAAUGGAUCGGAGCUGGAACGAUGAAGUGAUGUCCGGAGUUGGGAGCCGACUGGUAUUGAGGUGAUCUUAGCAUUGUCUACCUCGAUCCAUUUUAUCUUUGCGGCUAGUGAUCCGAGUGAAUAUGCAAGCGAAACGAAC
rnacentral:lncRNA from 1 species